AUGAGCUGAGAGAAAACUUUCCACUCUAUCUGGGUCGUCUUAUCUGGACACAGGAGCGCCUUUUCCUCUACCUCCCUGUAAAUCCCCCUCUGUGCUACAAGGCCUGGAGUUUUCUGCUGUAAACAAAGUGAGUUUAAUAAAGGGCAGCUGUCAACAUCAUUUCAGAGCUGGAGUGAGGCCCUGUGUCAUUGUUGGCUGAUCGCUAAAGAGGGCAGCCAACCCCUGAGUCAGUAAAUGUCACUGUUCAAAUAAAUGCCUUUCCACUUUUCAGGCUUUUACCAGAGCAAACAUUCUGCAUCUGUCCAGCACUCACCACCACAGUCUGCUCAUUCAGUGUAUUGGACAGUCUAUG